AGGUUGAUGCAAAAGUAAUUGCAGGUUUUGUCACUAAAAAAAUAGCAAAACCCGCAAUUACUUUUGCACCAACCCAA
rnacentral:miRNA from 1 species